UACGUAGGGGGCUAGCGUUGUCCGGAUUCAUUGGGCGUAAAGCGCGCGUAGGCGGCUCGGAAAGUCGGGCGUGAAAUGCCGGGGCUCAACCCCGGACGUGCAUCCGAUACUUCCGGACUGGAGGCAGGUAGGGGAGAGCGGAAUUCCCGGUGUAGCGGUGAAAUGCGCAGAUAUCGGGAAGAACACCGGUGGCGGAAGGCGGCUCUCUGGACCUGUCCUGACGCUCAGGCGCGAAAGCUAGGGGAGCGAACAGG
rnacentral:rRNA from 1 species